GUAGGCCACACCGUAAACGAUGAGAGCUAGUUGUUGGCAGGUUUACAUGUCGGUGACGCAGCUAACGCAUUAAGCUCUCCGCCUGGGGAGUACGGCCGCAAGGUUAAAACUCUAAGAAAUUGACGGGGCCCGCACAAGCGGUGGAGCAUUUGGUUUAAUUCGAAGCAACGCGCAGAACCUUACCCACGUUUGACAUGCCUGGAUGUGAUCAGAGAUGUGAUCGUUCCUUCGGGACCAGUGCGCAGGUGCUGCAUGGCUGUCGUCAGCUCGUGUCGUGAGAUGUUGGGUUAAGUCCCGCAACGUGCGCAACCCUCACCCUUAGUUGCUAACAGGUUUGGCUGAGAACUCUAAGGGAACUGCCCGUGGCAAGCGGGAGGAAGGUGGGGAUGACGUCAAGUCCUCAUGGCCCUUACGCGUGGGGCUACACACGUGCUACAAUGGCAGUGACAAUGGGAUAAUCCCAAAAAGCUGUCUCAGUUCAGAUUGGGGUCUGCAACUCGACCCCAUGAAGUUGGAAUCGCUAGUAAUCGUGGAUCAGCAUGCCACAGGGAAUACGUUCCCGGGCAUUGUACACACCGCCCGUC
rnacentral:rRNA from 1 species